CCUACGGGUGGCUGCAGUCGAGAAUCAUUCACAAUGGGGGAAACCCUGAUGCAGCGACGCCGCGUGAGUGAAGAAGUAAUUCGUUAUGUAAAGCUCUAUCAGCAGGGGAGCAAAUGACGGUACCUGAGUAAGAAGCCCCGGCUAAAUACGUGCCAGCAGCCGCGGUAAUACGUAGGGGGCAAGCGUUAUCCGGAUUUACUGGGUGUAAAGGGGGCGUAGUCGGGAGUGCAAGUCUGGAGUGAAAGGCGGGGGCUCAACCCCCGGACUGCUGUGGAAACUGUACGGCUGGAGUGCAGGAGAGGUAAGUGGAAUUCGUGGUGUAGCGGUGAAAUGCGUAGAUAUUAGGAGGAACACCAGUGGCGAAGGCGGCUUACUGGACUGUAACUGACGUUGAGGCUCGAAAGCGUGGGGAGCAAACAGGAUUAGAUACCCGUGUAGUC
rnacentral:rRNA from 1 species